rnacentral:ncRNA from 1 species
UCAAUUUUUACUUGACUUACACAUGCANGUCUCCGCACACCCGUGAGAACGCCCUUUCACCCAUUUGGGCNUAAGGAGCUGAUAUCAGGCACCAUAGUUNGCCCAAAACAUCUAGCCACGCCACACCCACAAGGAUUUACAGCAGUGAUUAACAUUAAAAAUAAACGUCAGUUUGAUUCAGUCAANUGAAAANUAGAACCGGCCAAUCUGGUGCCAGCCGCCGCGGUUACACCACNGUGGUUCAAAUUGAUUUUUUCNCGGCGUAAAGCGUGAUUAAAGAGUNAUAANNNNCCUAUUGAGGUCAAACUUAAACUGAGCUGUAGCACGCUUGUUUUUAAGAAAAUCACACNNCCUAAAAUACCCCAACACACCCACUUGAAUUCACGAUAACUAGGAUACAAACUGGGAUUAGAUACCCCACUAUGCCUAGUCACAAACUUUAACUUACACUNNNNAUCAUCGCCAGGGAACUACGAGCAAAGCUUAAAACCCAAAGGACUUGACGGUACCCCACAUCCCCCUAGAGGAGCCUGUCCUAUAACCGAUACCCCACGUUUAACCUCACCACUUUUAGUUCUNCAGCCUGUAUACUUCCGUCGUCAGCUUACCGCGUGAGCGUUUCNAAGUAAGCUUAAUGUUCCUACACCCAUACGUCAGGUCAAAGUGCAGCAAAUAAAGUGGGAAGAGAUGGGCUACACUUUCUAUUAUAGAAAAUACGAAAGAUUACAUGAAAUAUCAGUCAGAAGGCGGAUUUAGUAGUAAGCAGAAAACAGAAUAUUCUUCUUAACCCGGCACUGGGGUGUGUACACACCGCCCGUCACCCUCUUCAAUAUAUUACCCUAGUUUAUAACACCCAUUNUAANACCAAGAAGAGAUAAGUCGUAACAUGGNNNGUAUACCGGAAGGUGUGCUUGGACA